GGACAACGUGCCCUAAGGUCUGGCAUAACUCCGGGAAACUGGGGAUAAUUCCAGAUAAACCAUGGAUACUGGAAUGUACUGUGGUUAAAAGCUCCGGUGCCUUAGGAUGGAUCUGCGGCCUAUCAGGUAGUAGUGGGUGUAAUGUACCUACUAGCCUACGACGGGUACGGGUUGUGAGAGCAAGAGCCCGGAGAUGGAUUCUGAGACAUGAAUCCAGGCCCUACGGGGCGCAGCAGGCGCGAAAACUUUACAAUGCGGGAAACCGCGAUAAGGGGACACUGAGUGCCAGCACCAUGUGCUGGCUGUCCGCAUGUAUAAAUCACAUGUGUCAGCAAGGGCCGGGCAAGACCGGUGCCAGCCGCCGCGGUAACACCGGCGGCCCGAGUGGUGGCCAUUAUUAUUGGGUCUAAAGGGUCCGUAGCCGGUUUGAUCAGUCUUCCGGGAAAUCUGACAGCUCAACUGUUAGGCUUCUGGGGGAUACUGUCAGACUUGGAACCGGGAGAGGUAAGAGGUACUACAGGGGUAGGAGUGAAAUCUUGUAAUCCUUGUGGGACCACCAGUGGCGAAGGCGUCUUACCAGAACGGGUUUGACGGUGAGGGACGAAAGCUGGGGGCACGAACCGGAUUAGAUACCCGGGUAGUCCCAGCCGUAAACGAUGCUCGCUAGGUGUCUGGGAUGGUGCGACCGUUUCAGGUGCCGCAGGGAAGCCGUGAAGCGAGCCACCUGGGAAGUACGGCCGCAAGGCUGAAACUUAA
rnacentral:rRNA from 1 species